rnacentral:lncRNA from 1 species
CGUGCACGGCACGCACCCUCCUUUGGGGCGGGCUCGGGCCGCGGAGUCCCGGGGGAGGAGGCUCGGGGCUGGCCGGGCACUCGACACGGGCCGGGACCCCGUCGCGGAUCUGGGCUAUUCUUGACCAUCUGGGCAGGCUGGAAUCGCAGCAGGCACAUCUGCCUUGGGCGGCUGUUUGCUGCUAUGGAAGGAUAAGGAAGAAGGCUGGAGUGCUCACAUGGGGCUAGUGACCAGAAUGGAACACAUUUGAGAGAUGAUGAAGUUUAACUGCUGGACCAAUAUGAAACUCUGGUA